UACGGGGGGGGCAAGCGUUGUUCGGAAUUACUGGGCGUAAAGGGCUCGUAGGUGGCCAACUAAGUCAGACGUGAAAUCCCUCAGCUUAACUGGGGAACCGCGUCUGAUACUGGAUGGCUUGAGUUUGGGAGAGGGAUGCGGAAUUCCAGGUGUAGCGGUGAAAUGCGUAGAUAUCUGGAGGAACACCGGUGGCGAAGGCGGCAUCCUGGACCAACACUGACACUGAGGAGCGAAAGCCAGGGGAGCAAACGGG
rnacentral:rRNA from 1 species